rnacentral:lncRNA from 1 species
GAACGCCUUUCCGGAGACGCGGCGCGAAGGAGUUAAACGGGACUGCGAGUGACAUCACCUCAUUUACAUAGGAGCGAGCAUAUAGCUGCGCUCGCCGCGCCCCUCCCGACAAUCGGCGGCGUCCUCUGAGCAGAUCCUACUCUCCUCGUUCGUGCGCCUCGCUCGUUAACAUCCCGCAAUGAUACGAAAAUACAUUUGAGAGCCACCUUCGCUCGCUCUUUGAUUCUUCACACUGGGGAGAAUAAGAGGGAAGGUUUUUUUUUUUUUUUU